rnacentral:sRNA from 1 species
AUUGUGACUCGAGGCUGAGGCUGCUGUGUUGGACCUUCGGCUCAGUGGUUCGUGCUUCUCCUGCUGUUUGUCUGGCUAAUCUCUGCUCACCCAUCAGGUAUUAGCCUAACCUAAAUGCCACUUCCUCCAGGAUGUCUUCCAGGAACCCAAACUUCCCACAGUUUAUGUCUUCUUGCUGCAGGAACCAUUGCUGGAAGGUACUGAGAACUAAAUCAGUCUGUUCAACCUCCCACCUGUGCAGUUUUACCCUGUGCCUCCCUGGCAGGGAGAGAAGAGGCCCACGACUGGCUCCUACAGAUAUUAAAGAGGAGACUGAAACUGUUCCUUGGACAUCUUAUGAGUGUC